rnacentral:antisense_RNA from 1 species
AGGUACGACAUUGCUCACAUUGCUUCCAGUGUUUACUUUAGCCAGCUUACAUGCUGGCUAUUUUUU